rnacentral:rRNA from 1 species
GGGUUGUGAGGUUAAGCGACUAAGCGUACACGGUGGAUGCCCUGGCAGUCAGAGGCGAUGAAGGACGUGCUAAUCUGCGAUAAGCGUCGGUAAGGUGAUAUGAACCGUUAUAACCGGCGAUUUCCGAAUGGGGAAACCCAGUGUGUUUCGACACACUAUCAUUAACUGAAUCCAUAGGUUAAUGAGGCGAACCGGGGGAACUGAAACAUCUAAGUACCCCGAGGAAAAGAAAUCAACCGAGAUUCCCCCAGUAGCGGCGAGCGAACGGGGAGCAGCCCAGAGCCUGAAUCAGUGUGUGUGUUAGUGGAAGCGUCUGGAAAGGCGCGCGAUACAGGGUGACAGCCCCGUACACAAAAAUGCACAUGCUGUGAGCUCGAUGAGUAGGGCGGGACACGUGGUAUCCUGUCUGAAUAUGGGGGGACCAUCCUCCAAGGCUAAAUACUCCUGACUGACCGAUAGUGAACCAGUACCGUGAGGGAAAGGCGAAAAGAACCCCGGCGAGGGGAGUGAAAAAGAACCUGAAACCGUGUACGUACAAGCAGUGGGAGCCUCUUUAUGGGGUGACUGCGUACCUUUUGUAUAAUGGGUCAGCGACUUAUAUUCUGUAGCAAGGUUAACCGAAUAGGGGAGCCGAAGGGAAACCGAGUCUUAACUGGGCGUUAAGUUGCAGGGUAUAGACCCGAAACCCGGUGAUCUAGCCAUGGGCAGGUUGAAGGUUGGGUAACACUAACUGGAGGACCGAACCGACUAAUGUUGAAAAAUUAGCGGAUGACUUGUGGCUGGGGGUGAAAGGCCAAUCAAACCGGGAGAUAGCUGGUUCUCCCCGAAAGCUAUUUAGGUAGCGCCUCGUGAAUUCAUCUCCGGGGGUAGAGCACUGUUUCGGCAAGGGGGUCAUCCCGACUUACCAACCCGAUGCAAACUGCGAAUACCGGAGAAUGUUAUCACGGGAGACACACGGCGGGUGCUAACGUCCGUCGUGAAGAGGGAAACAACCCAGACCGCCAGCUAAGGUCCCAAAGUCAUGGUUAAGUGGGAAACGAUGUGGGAAGGCCCAGACAGCCAGGAUGUUGGCUUAGAAGCAGCCAUCAUUUAAAGAAAGCGUAAUAGCUCACUGGUCGAGUCGGCCUGCGCGGAAGAUGUAACGGGGCUAAACCAUGCACCGAAGCUGCGGCAGCGACGCUGAUGCGUUGUUGGGUAGGGGAGCGUUCUGUAAGCCUGCGAAGGUGUGCUGUGAGGCAUGCUGGAGGUAUCAGAAGUGCGAAUGCUGACAUAAGUAACGAUAAAGCGGGUGAAAAGCCCGCUCGCCGGAAGACCAAGGGUUCCUGUCCAACGUUAAUCGGGGCAGGGUGAGUCGACCCCUAAGGCGAGGCCGAAAGGCGUAGUCGAUGGGAAACAGGUUAAUAUUCCUGUACUUGGUGUUACUGCGAAGGGGGGACGGAGAAGGCUAUGUUGGCCGGGCGACGGUUGUCCCGGUUUAAGCGUGUAGGCUGGUUUUCCAGGCAAAUCCGGAAAAUCAAGGCUGAGGCGUGAUGACGAGGCACUACGGUGCUGAAGCAACAAAUGCCCUGCUUCCAGGAAAAGCCUCUAAGCAUCAGGUAACAUCAAAUCGUACCCCAAACCGACACAGGUGGUCAGGUAGAGAAUACCAAGGCGCUUGAGAGAACUCGGGUGAAGGAACUAGGCAAAAUGGUGCCGUAACUUCGGGAGAAGGCACGCUGAUAUGUAGGUGAAGCGACUUGCUCGUGGAGCUGAAAUCAGUCGAAGAUACCAGCUGGCUGCAACUGUUUAUUAAAAACACAGCACUGUGCAAACACGAAAGUGGACGUAUACGGUGUGACGCCUGCCCGGUGCCGGAAGGUUAAUUGAUGGGGUUAGCGGUAACGCGAAGCUCUUGAUCGAAGCCCCGGUAAACGGCGGCCGUAACUAUAACGGUCCUAAGGUAGCGAAAUUCCUUGUCGGGUAAGUUCCGACCUGCACGAAUGGCGUAAUGAUGGCCAGGCUGUCUCCACCCGAGACUCAGUGAAAUUGAACUCGCUGUGAAGAUGCAGUGUACCCGCGGCAAGACGGAAAGACCCCGUGAACCUUUACUAUAGCUUGACACUGAACAUUGAGCCUUGAUGUGUAGGAUAGGUGGGAGGCUUUGAAGUGUGGACGCCAGUCUGCAUGGAGCCGACCUUGAAAUACCACCCUUUAAUGUUUGAUGUUCUAACGUUGACCCGUAAUCCGGGUUGCGGACAGUGUCUGGUGGGUAGUUUGACUGGGGCGGUCUCCUCCUAAAGAGUAACGGAGGAGCACGAAGGUUGGCUAAUCCUGGUCGGACAUCAGGAGGUUAGUGCAAUGGCAUAAGCCAGCUUGACUGCGAGCGUGACGGCGCGAGCAGGUGCGAAAGCAGGUCAUAGUGAUCCGGUGGUUCUGAAUGGAAGGGCCAUCGCUCAACGGAUAAAAGGUACUCCGGGGAUAACAGGCUGAUACCGCCCAAGAGUUCAUAUCGACGGCGGUGUUUGGCACCUCGAUGUCGGCUCAUCACAUCCUGGGGCUGAAGUAGGUCCCAAGGGUAUGGCUGUUCGCCAUUUAAAGUGGUACGCGAGCUGGGUUUAGAACGUCGUGAGACAGUUCGGUCCCUAUCUGCCGUGGGCGCUGGAGAACUGAGGGGGGCUGCUCCUAGUACGAGAGGACCGGAGUGGACGCAUCACUGGUGUUCGGGUUGUCAUGCCAAUGGCACUGCCCGGUAGCUAAAUGCGGAAGAGAUAAGUGCUGAAAGCAUCUAAGCACGAAACUUGCCCCGAGAUGAGUUCUCCCUGACUCCUUGAGAGUCCUGAAGGAACGUUGAAGACGACGACGUUGAUAGGCCGGGUGUGUAAGCGCAGCGAUGCGUUGAGCUAACCGGUACUAAUGAACCGUGAGGCUUAACCUUACAACGCCGAAGGUGUUU